rnacentral:rRNA from 1 species
UGAGGAAUAUUGGUCAAUGGGCGAGAGCCUGAACCAGCCAAGUAGCGUGCAGGAUGACGGCCCUAUGGGUUGUAAACUGCUUUUAUGUGGGGAUAAAGUGCGUGACGUGUCAUGCAUUGCAGGUACCACAUGAAUAAGGACCGGCUAAUUCCGUGCCAGCAGCCGCGGUAAUACGGAAGGUCCGGGCGUUAUCCGGAUUUAUUGGGUUUAAAGGGAGCGUAGGCUGUCUAUUAAGCGUGUUGUGAAAUUUACCGGCUCAAGCGGUGGCUUGCAGCGCGAACUGGUCGACUUGAGUAUGCAGGAAGUAGGCGGAAUUCAUGGUGUAGCGGUGAAAUGCUUAGAUAUCAUGACGAACUCCGAUUGCGCAGGCAGCUUACUGUAGCAUAACUGACGCUGAUGCUCGAAAGUGCGGGUAUCAAACAGG